rnacentral:tRNA from 7 species
CUCCCUAUAGCUCAACAGGAUAGAGCAGCCGCCUCCUAAGCGGCCGAUCAGGGUUCGAGUCCUUGUGGGGAGACCA